UUAAGUUAUUUUGGAAGCUCCUUUUUGCUGGUUCUUCAAGCCCUCUCCUCUACAAAAUCCCUAGUUGAGAAAUCAACCAAGAAUUAAGUUGGUGCUUCAACCAAGUCAAGAAUAUAUACAAGUCUCUCUUUGGAUAAAAGGGACAACUUUUAUCCUUGCUUAAUAUGAGCUUAAGAGACUGUAUUUUCGUCAAUUCAGGUAUGGCCAUGUUCCCCUCUCUCAUGUAUGUGAUGUAAGACUCACGGGACGACGAUAGGAAGUCGUGAGUCCAAGUUUCACCUAUGUUAAUUGAUAUUUUUAGUGAGGAGGGAGUGUGUGGAGUGGUUUGGUAACUGCUUGUUAAUGUGUUGGAGUCAUUUAAAUGUAGUGUAUUGUUGUUAGUAAUAUGAGGGGUUGAAUACUAUAAACACCGAUCGAUUAGAAUGUCUCUUGAGUUUACACCUACCAUGUGUCUGUUGAAUUGACGACCUGACUUGGAUAUGUUGUGUAACUGCCUAAAGUUGAAUUUUCAUUUGUUGUUGUUUUAUACUAAAGGGAGCAUGGGAUAAUUCAGCCGUUGUAGUACAUUACAAGAUUUAAAUCAAGGUAUGUAAAGGUGACCCUUUCCGCCAUUUUCAAGAGCGAAUUUACGUCGUUAACAGAACUAGUACUCUAAUAUUUUUAACUAAUAUUGAGGUAUGGUAUUGUUCUGUUAGAAGGUUGUGAAGACAUGGUGAAAUCUAUAGUUGUCUGAAUGUUUAAGAUAAAUGUAUGUGACGCGAAUGACAAUAUAUAUAGUUGUUGUCGUAGUUGUAAACUGAGUUUGGAGACCCCUUAUCGUGGGCACUGUGAGCUGGUCCUAUAUGUAUUUUUAUUAAGAAGUAGUUAUGUAUAUGAGUUCCAUGUUUCCAUGUGAGUAAGGCCAAAUAAUUUAGAACUAUUUGUGCUUGUCGACACGAUAAGUUACUAAUGAGAGUCCAAUUGUAUAAUUAUCGGUACGGGUAAAAGAAGCACCUUAGAAGUAAAUGAAGCACCUUAUGGGUAGAAUAUGUGUAUAUAUGCAUAUCCUAAAUGUUAGUGGAUUAAAUAGAAAUAGAAAUAUAUGUGCUCUUGUUCAAGCUAUAUGCUAAGGCGACAUAAUAUAUUUAGGUACCUCAUUCAUAAGGCUACUAGAUUCCUUAUGACAUCUAAACCUUCUUAUGGUUGUUUAAGUAUUAAGUAGGUGUACUUAUAUUCUAUUUGAAAGCUUUAUAUGUUACAUGUACAUAGUUGCAAUUCACGAGUCUUGAAGAGUCCUAUUGAGGCCACAGUCCUAGAGGCAGCUUGCAUAUGUGAUAUAUUUAUGUAAUACCCCGGAAACUAGUAAGUGAAACUAGAGAGUUCUAGAGCCCUGUGUUAGGGUUUUAGAGUUUGAUAUGAGGGUUAAAAUCAUAACAAUGACUUUCCAUAUUUAGAAUGAAUGUUUUAGGUUUAAGGCGUCAAGGUACGAUCCCCCAAGGACCAACCAAAGGGUCCUUGAGGAGGACCCUAAAAACAGCCCCAAAAGCUGUCAAAACCACGGGCAUCUAUGGCUAGUAGUUGUUUUAAGUUGGGACUUAGGGGUUAAUUCAUUAUUAGUUAAUGGUUAAGUAGGGUCGGUUUAUUAGUAAUUAGACCCCAUAUAUAAACCUAAUAGACCCCUAAUUAAGUCAUUCUAAAUCAUUCUCUCAACUCACCAAAAAGAAACCAAAAAUUCUCUCUCUAGAAGUGAAGAAGAAGAAGAGAAGGAAGCUAGGGCAGAAUUCUUCCAUUGAUGCAAGCUUGGUGAGGCUUUGAAUCAAGGUAUGUUAGCUUAUUCAUCUAUGGACUCUUCCAUCCAUAGAACCCCCUAGAUUUCCCCCAAUUGUGAAGACAAAACCCAAUUCUAGCUAGGGUUUCUUCCUACAUUGUGGGUAGUGUUGAAGUAUGAUUCCAAUUGAGUGGAUAAUACAUAAUUAUGAUUGAUUUAGCAUUGAAUUAUGAUAUUAUGAUGAAUUUAUGUGAUUUCCAUGGUUAACCCUAGUCUAAUUGAUAGAAUUGAUAUUAUGUGGGUUUAUGUCAUGAGAGGUGAACUUGAGGAUUAAUAGGUGAUAGGUGAGGAUUCUAAAAUUAAUGUCAUGUGUAGUAAUUUUUCAAGAUUAGGAACAUAUAGACAUGAAUUGAACUAGAUUUUAGUAUAUAUGAUGGAUCAUGACUAGUAAAGUUGAAAUUGAACCUUUAUGAUGAAUUGUGACUAUAAUCACUUAAUAAUGAAGAAUGUGAUUAGAACAUUUUGAAAUCUAGAUAUGUAUGAUAAUUGUAAGAAGUAAAGCUUUGAGGGUAAGGCUUGUAUUCAUGAAUGUUGAUCACUAGGGUUUUGAGAGUAAAUCAAGAUGAUGAACUAGGCAUGUUAAGGCUUUGAGAGUAAAGUCUAUAUGAGAAUAGAAGCUUAAUGGAUAGAAUUAUGGUGGAAGACCUUUACCUACCUAAUCUACCUCAUGAAUGCUUGAAUGUAUGAAGUGAUAGAAUCACUUGAGUUAUGAUGAUAUCCAUGUCUAAUGUAGAAUUCUAGAUAUGGUAUUAUGCAUGAAUAUGAUAUGACAUGAAAGGUUCUCUCACAUAGAAUGAUUCUAGGUUGAAAUUCUAUUCUCACCUAAAAUGAAUCUAAGUCCUAGGACUAUGAAAUGUGAUGAGGCUUGUGGUGAUUACCCUAAAAGACCUUUACAUGAUAGGAAUGUGAGGUGAGUUCCCUUGCUCCUAAUUAGUUAAAUAUGAGGUGAUUACCCUUUAUGUAUGUAUGACUCCCAAGGCAAGCGGUGAUUACCCAUUAGCCUUUAUGUUGAUCAUAGAGUCGAUUACCUAUGAUCCUUAUGUGAUGAUGUGGAGGCGAAUACCUACAUUACACAUUAAUAAUGAACAUGGAGGCGAAUACCUAUGAUUCAUUAGUAUGUAUGACUAGAGGUGAUUAUCCUUGUCUUUAUGAUUCCAUGAUAUGUAUGACUAGUGGUGAUUUGCCUUGUUAUGAUUCCAUGAUAUAUAUGGCUUGAGGUGAUUCCACUUGCCCUUCAUGAUGAACUGAACAUGUAUGCCUUGAGGUGAUUCCCCUUGCAUUUAUGAAUAUGAGCAUAACUCGUUUGGAUUAUAGCUUGGUAGGCCCCUCCAAUACAUGCAUGACUAGAGGUGAUUCCCCUUGUCUUUAUGAUGUUAAGAGAUGAUAAACAUGAAUGAUGAACCUAAAGUGUCUAGCUUAGCAUGGGUAGAAUUAUAGGGUCUUGUUCAUGCAUGGCACAAACUUGCCUUGAGGUGACUCAUGAAGUGUUUCUCUUAUAUGAUAUAUGCUUAGAUAGGAUUGUGCUAUAGUUGCCUUCCUUGUUAUGUUAUGAUUGACUAAAGGUGAGAUAUUCCCUUGGUUAUGAGAAUAAGCUAAAUAUGAGAUCCUAAUGAAUGGUAAAUAUGAAUAUAGUGACUUCAAGGUUAUGCUUAGUGUGAAUGGUAUUAUGGGAUGUCAUUCAUGCAUUGCACAAGUAUGCUUUGAGGUUAUUUGAGAGUGGUCUUAUUAUGAUAUGAAUGACUAGGAAUGGAAUAAUGCUUAUAUGAUCCUUAUGUUAGAGACUUUGCUUAUGACUGUAAUAAUGUCUCUUAUGCUUAUAGUUUAUGUGUCAUAAAGUAUUUCAUAUGAUUGUGGAUUAUGUCUUACAUUGACUAACCCUUAUAUUAUGCUCUUAUGAUGUUAUGCUAGCUAACAUAUUUAGUACAUUUUGUACUAACACAUACUUUGCCUACAUUCUAAUCAAAUGUAGGGUUCGGAGAUUUGAGUUCCAAUCUUGAGGAUAGGUUUCUAAAGAGCAAAUGAGUUGAAGAUUUGGUGAGUCCUCAUAGCUUCGAGGACAAAACCCACUAUUUCCUUUAUGUCUUUUACUUUCAUGUUAUGAGACUAUUGUGUGGGCUGUGUCCUAAAGGUUUUAAUUCAAAGUUGAGUUUAGAUGGUUUGAGACAAAAGUGUAGCAAGACUUUCGCUUGCUUUUGAAAAGACUUCGAUUGUAUGGAUAAAAGUUUUUAAAAUUUCCGUACUUUUCUAUUAUCUUAUGUUAUGAUAUGCUAAGUUCUUGUAUGAGACCCCUCGGGGUCAAGUAUGUCAUGUUACAUCUAGGGUGUACACCUGGGUCAUGAAAAUUUAUUUGAAAUACUUGAUAUGUAUCUAGCCAGCGCAGUAGAUGAUAGUGAUUAUGACUUUAUGUUACACUACCAAUGGGGUAAUGUCGAUAGACAGAUAUAGUAAUAGCUACAACUAUAGUUCACCAGACCACCACAACAGGCAUGUCAGGUGGGCAGGUAACCCCGUGACCACACCACAACAACAGGCAUGUCUGGUGGGCAGAUAACCCAGGCAUUACACCACCACAAUAGGCAUGUCGGUGGGUAGAUAACUCUGUGACCACACCAUCACGGUAGGCAUGUAGAGUGGACAGAUAACCCAUGCAUUACACCAUCACGACAGGCAUGCUCGGUGGACAUAUGCUUACUCAGUCAUCACAUCACCGAGAUGAACAUCUCAGCUGGGCAGGGUCACUACUAUGACAUGAUUAUCAUAGAGUUCACCAUUAAAGAAAUACGAUUUGUAUAUGUGCUUACUUAGUUGCAUUCACGGAUCAAUGUUACGUCAUUAUCAGAUCUCAGCUUAUGGAGUCUCGGGUUGUUUCUAUCCCUAACUCUAGUUCACUAUUUUUUAUAUACUUAUGUUUACAACUUUCAACCUUACAUACCAGUACAUGUUAUUCAUACUGACGUCCCUCCGCUUGGGGACGCUAUAUUCGUGUUGCAGGUGUAAGUAGAGGCUCUAAUUGUCAGUUGUAAUAGGUAUCCGACUUCAACUUAGAAUUGAUAUUCUCCUUCCAUUCAGGAGCCAUGUUCUACUUUGGCAGUAUUGUGUUAUUUUCCAUUUGGUAUGGGUAGGUUGGGGACCUGUCUUGUGUGCUAAGUUUGUUAGUCUUUAUAGGAUUUUGUGGACGAGUAUGUACAAUUUAGUUUAGUUUGGUUUUUAUGGUCUUGUCGGCUUUUCGUUGCUUAGUUUAGUUGUAUUAUGGCCUAGUUGACCUUAUGUUGUUAAAGUUUAAUUUAGUUAUGACCUCGUUUGUUUAGAUGGAUAUGAUAGUUGGCCUGGAUGGCCUUAGCAGUAUAGUUAAUUUCAGCUAUUAUAUAGUUGACUUCUUGAUUAAGUCUAUAUUGAGGCCAGACGUGCCCUACCCCAAUUUUGGGGGCGUGAAAAACUUGGUAUCAGAGCGAGGUCAGCUCCUAGGGAGACCACAAAGCCAUGUCUAAUAGAGUCUUCCUUAUUGGUAUGUUGUGCACAAUACAUAUAAUCAUGAGGCUACUGGAUAUUUAGAGGUUGUUUCAUAUCUUUCAUUGACAAUUCAUUCUAUAUAGCAAAAUCAUUAGGUUAUAUGAUAUCCAAAUUGCUACUCCCCCCGUCCCAUUUUAUGUGGCACUUUUUGGAUUUCUAGAUUCAAACAAGUCUAUCUUUGACCGUGAAUUUUUCAUAGAUUUUUUAAACAUUUUGAAUUACCAAUUAUUGUGACUUAUAGUACUUUUUACGUAGUUUACAAAUAUAUAAAUUUCAUUUCAAAAAAAUUGAAGAUCCCAUGCGUAAAUUUUCGGUCAAACUUAAACUAUUUGACUCUUGAAAAACAAAAAGUGCCACAUAAGUUGAGACAUAUGGAGUAUUAUUUAUGAAUAUGUCAAUGACGAGGUAGAUGGCUAUACAAUUGAUUGGUAUGACUAAGCGAGAGGGUAAUAUCCGCCCUCGAGAAGAGUAGAGAGAUGGCUAAGAUGCUCAGAGUGAGUCUCCUUCUCAAGGCAUUGCAGCCCCUCCAGCUCCAGCUAGAGCUAAAUUAGACAAACAUCCAGCUUCACAAGCCUUAGUAAUACAAAAGGGUGACAGAGUGACUGACCCUCUGGCACCUAUCGCACAUCUAGUAGCCCAAAUGGACAAGGAAUUGAGGGAGCUAUUCAGUUGAUGGCUUGUAUAUCUGUAACACCCCAAAAAUUAGCAGGCAAGACUAGAGCUAAACAUUAAGGUUAGAGUCAAGGAAGGAGGGCAAGAGACAAGGCUUCCCAAACCUUGCCAAGGCACUGCCCCAAGACCACGUAGGGCCUUCACGACCAGUGGUGGUCACCACGAGUCGUGGAGCCACUCGUGGAGGUGGAGGCGGUAGCCUCCUUAAGGCUGCCUCAAGUUGGCUCCUCCACACGAGCCAUUUCACGGCUCGUGAAGCCUUAGACGACUCGUGGGAGUGGCCUUGAACAUGCCUUAGUGGUUGAGGGUUGAUGGAGGGUGGCUUAGCCACUGCCUCAAGGCCCACGAGAGGGACCAUGACUCGUGGCUUGCACAACGGCUCGUGGAGCCCCUCGUGAAGAUGUCUUGGGCUUGUGAGCUAAAGGUACUUGUUGCCUAGCCACUGCCUCAAGUCCAUGAAGGGGACCACGACUUGUGGUCAUGACCAUGGCUCGUGGGGAUCCACGUGGUCCCUGGCAACUCACUUAAAGUGAGGGGUAUUUUGGGUUAUUUCGGUUUGAGUCUUAUUAAAGUAAAGUCAUUUUGCCUUAGUUUUAUACACCUAUAUAAGUCAUUUUAAGUGAAAAUACACCAAUUCACCCCAUUAUUUCCAAAAACCCCAAAUCAAAUCCCAAAAGUUCAUCUUCUUUCAAAAUUUCUCUCUCUAGAACUCCAAGGAAGAAGAAGAAGAAAGUUGAAGCUAGAAUUUGAAGGAGCAAGGUUUUCCACUUGAUUUCUUUCGAGAUUCAUAGCUAAGGUAUGGUAGUCCUUCAUCCAUGGAUAUCUUUCAUCCAUGGAGUCCCUUCAAACUCCAAAUUUCUAAGUUAGAAAUCCCUAAAAGCUAGGGUUUUACUCCAAAUUCAUGGGUUCCUUUCUAAAACGAUUUUUAUGUUUUAAUUAUGAUAUAUUAUGAAUGAAUUGAUGAGUAUUGAUGUUUUUAUGAUGAAUUCCCCAAGAACCCAUGAAACCCCCAUAGUUCCCAAUUAUGAUUUUGUGAUGUGGGUUUGUUGAUGAAAGAAGAGUAUUAGUAGAUUGUGUAUGAAAUGAAUUGAUUUCUUGAAUUAUGAUUAUAUACAUGUCUAAUGUAGUGAAUUCUAGAUAUAUUGAUAGAAUGUGAUCCUUGAUCCUUAAAGGGUAAAGUAUUAGAAUUAUGCAUGAUUAUGAGAUUUAUGUAUAUGCUUCAUGAACACUUUGAGAGUAAAGUGAUUAUGAUUAUGAUCUAGUUGUUGUGUUGUUGAGAGACUAUCCUCAUAUACAUACCUAUGUAUGAAGAUGAUAUGAUGUGAAAGGUUUUCUCACAAUAUGAUGAUUCCAAGGUUGAAAGGUUAUUCUUACCUAUUGAAUUUAUGAGCUAUCUUAUGAAUUAUGUUGGAUUGAGUGUCAAGGCAUUCUUCCAUGAAUAUGAACUUAAGUUAACAUUUAAUAGGUACUCUGUGGGAUAAAUGCUUAGCACUGAGUUAAUAUUUAAUAUGAGAUCGAAGCUCUUCCGUUAGAAAUGUCGAGUUUCUAGAAAGAAUCUCUUGAGAUGGAAGCUCCCCCGUUAAAAAGGGCGGAUUUCUAGUAGGAAUCUCCUUAUCCCAUAAACUAUGUGCCCCAUAGGUUAUUUAGCUAGUGGAUCCACAUAAGCUAAGAGUAUGGUUCUACCUUACGCAAGUAGGAAAACCCUUUUUGGUGUGGGUAACACAUGGAUUCUAUGAUAAGCUCACAUGGUCUAUGUCGGUUAAGGCUUAUUCCCACUAUGAACAAGAAUAUGAAUUAUGAACUAUGGUUACUCAAGAAGCUUUACUUAGUCAUGGGUGGGAUUAUGGGAUCUUAUUCAUGCACUGCACGAGUAUGCUUUGAGGGUAUUUAUGGUAUGUUUCUAUUAUGAUAUUAUGAUUUAUGUAGUGAAUAUUCUUAUGACUUAUGCUUUUCCAUUACCUUCAAAAUGAUUCUUUAACUUAGUAAAUUGAAUGCAUUCAACUAAAAUGUCCCUUUUGCACGUUUUCAAGGUUUUAAUGCAUUGCUAUCAUACUUAGUGCAUUUUCGUACUAACCCAUAUUUCUCCUACAUUUUCCCCAAGUGUAGGGUCCGGUUCUCAGGUGGUCCUCAUUGUGGCUAGAGCUUGGAAUUGAUCAUUUCUCCAUGCUUGUUGGUGAGUCCUCAUAAUUGGAGGACGGAUGUUAUCUUAGUAGUUUCAUUUAUGCAUUUUUGUUUUGGAUUAUGUAGUAUGGGUUGUGUCCCUAUUUUUUAUAUAAUUUUUGUAAUAGAUGGCUAUUUGAGACAAGUCUAGACUUCCGCUUUCCUUUAUGAAAAUUAUGGACUUGAAAUGCAUUGUUUUUACUCUUAUUGUUCUAAUGCUUUACGUUAUGAUAUGCUGAGUGGCUUAAAUAAUGCCUUUUGGGGUUCUAUGUGCCAUGUUACGUCUAGGGGGUGCCUUGGGUCGUGACAAACUUGGUAAUUAGAGCACAAGGUUUAGAAUGAUUCUAGGAUGAUAUCUCAUAAGUCACGUCUAGUAGAGUCUUGUUCAUGAGUGUGAAGUGUGCCACACUUAUGAAUGAGUGGCUAUAAGAUGUUUAGGAAACCUCAUUUCUUUCAUUACUCUUGAGUCGUGCCUUAGAGUUUAACUCUAUAAAGUCCCUCUUCUAAUCUUUCUCUUGUGUCUUCAGGAUAUGAAUACACGAAGGGAUAACGCUAGAAGGGUGGAAGAUGAGAAUGUGAAUCAAGGAGCUCUUCCUUAAGCUAAUCAAGCUCUGGUUGACCCUUUGGUUGAGAAUGUGACCCAUGUGGAGUUUAGGUCAACUUUCCAAAUUUUGGCUCGAGCCGUAACGGCUCAAAGAGAGGUUGUAGCUUCGGUAAAUCCUAAUGUGAAUUUGGCCGCUUCAAGGGUUAGGGAUUUUGCUAGAAGGAAUCCUCCCGAAUUUCAUGGCUCCAAAGUGGAAGAGGACCCUCGUGGAAGAGGUUUAUAAAGUAAUUGAUAUUAUGGGGGUAACUUCGGUAUAGAAAGAGGAGUUGGUCGAUUAACAAUUGAAAGGUGUUGCUCAAGUGUGAUAUAUUCAAUGGAAGAGGAAUAGGCCGGUAGGAGCGGGUCCCAUAGAUUGGGAGGGGUUUAAAUCUGCAUUUCUUGAUAGAUUCUUUCCCCGAGAGUUGAGGGAAGCUAAGGUGGAAGAGUUCAUUAACCUUUGUCAAUGAAGUAUGAGUGUGAAAGAGUAUGCCAUAAAGUUCACCCAAUUGUCCAAGUAUGCUCCGACUAUGGUGGCAUAUUUGAGGGAUGAGAUGAGUAGGUUUUUUACGGACUCGGUUGAAGAAGAAUAUGGUAUGAUAAUGCUCCAUCAUGACAUGGAUAUCUCAAGGCUUAUGGUGUAAGCUCAACAAAUUAAGGAUUCAAAACUCAAGAAAAAGAAUAGGGAGCUGAAAAGAGCUAGGACUGGUGAUGGGAACUUCUCCAAUGCUAGGUUCGAUGGACAAGGUCGACAAAGAUUCAAACAAGGGUUUUCCAACCAAGGCUCCUCUAGUGCUCCAAGGGGCAACAAAGAUAUGGUUUCCAACCCUAAACCACAUGGAGGUAAUAGUGGUGGUUCUUAUAUGAAUAAGCCUAAUUGUGCAAAAUGUGGGAAGAAACAUGAUGGGAAGUGCCUAGCCGGCAUAGGUGUUUGUUUUAGUUGUGGUAAGAGUGGUCAUCAACUGAGGAAUUUCCCAACACUUUUGGCCAAGGGGAAAGAAGACAAGAAAUAUCCUUUUAGCGGUUCAAACUCCAAUGCUCCAAAGCAAAACCAUUUUUAUGCUCUUCAAUCCUGAAAUAACCAAGAGAGCUCCCCAGAUGUUAUGACCGGUAUGUCAAAAGUAUUUAAUAUUGAUGUAUAUGCCUUUUUAGAUAUCGGUGAUACUUUGUCCUUUGUGACACCGUAUGUGGCCAAUAAGUUUGAUAUGCUCCCCGAAGUGUUAUUAGACCCUUUUUCGAUUUCUACCCCGAUUGGUGAUUCGGUGGUGGCUAAGAGGGUGUAUAAAAUUUGUCCUAUUUCCUUGUCCCAUAGAGUUACCUUGGUGGAUUUGGUAGAAUUAGACAUGUUAGACUUUGAUGUGAUUUUGGGUAUGGAUUGGUUGCAUGCAUGUUAUGCCUCUAUCGAUUAUAGGACUCGGGUGGUUAGGUUUCAAUUUCCAAAUGAGCCUAUCUUAGAGUGGAAGGGGGGAAAUUCUAUACCUAGAGGUCAAUUUGUCUCUUGCCUUAAAGCGAGGAAGAUGAUCUCAAAAGGGCGUAUUUAUCAUCUUGUUAGGGUGAGGGAUGUUAAUUCUAAAACCCCUUCUCUAGAGUCAGUUCCGGUAGUGAAUGAGUUCCCAAAAAUUUUCCUUGAUGAUUUGCCCGGUAUUCCUCCCGAGUAGGAAAUAGAUUAUGGUAUUGACCUUUUACCGGAUACGCAACCUAUCUCCAUUCCUCCUUAUAUAAUAGCUCUGGCCGAGUUGAAAGAGUUGAAAGAGAAACUAAAGGAUUUACUCCCUCCGUUUAAAAAAGAAUGACCUCCUUUCCUUUUUAGUUUGUUUAAAAAAGAAUGACCUCUUUCCUUUUUUAGUAACAUUUUACUUUCAACUUUCCACGUGGCAUGUUUAAGACCAUAAGAUUAAAGGACAAUUUUGUACAUUUGACAUAACUUUAAUUUAGGGCCACAAGAUUCAAAAGUCUUCUUUAUUUUCUUAAACUCCGUGUCAAGUCAAACUAGGCCACUCUUUGUGAAACGGAGGGAGUAUUAGAUAAGGGAUUCAUCCGACCAAGUAUCUUUCAUCGGGGUGCUCCAGUGUUGUUUGUUAGAAAAAAGGAUGGGUAUCUUAGAAUGUGCAUCGAUUAUCGUCAAUUGAACAAAGUGACCAUUAUGAAUAAAUAUCCCCUUCUGAGAAUCGAUGACUUGUUUGAUCAACUUCAUGGGGCUAGUUACUUUUCAAAAUUUGACCUUCGUUCGAAGUAUCACCAAUUGAGGGUGAGAGGGGAUGAUAUACCCAAGACAGAUUUCCAAACUAGGUAUGGGUAUUAUGAAUUCCUUGUGAUGUCAUUUGGCUUAACUAAUGCCCAGCGGCAUUUAUGGACCUAAUGAAUAGAGUGUUUAGGCAAUACCAAGACAUGUUUGUGAUUGUGUUUAUCGAUGAUAUUUUGAUCUAUUCAAGGAGUGAGAAUGAACACGUGGACCAUAUGAGUAUUGUCUGCAAGUCUUAAAGACCACCAACUUUUUGCAAAGUUUAGCAAGUGUGAAUUUUGGCUAAGAUCCGUAGCUUUCCUUAGUCAUAUUGUGUCAAGCAAGGGUAUUGAGGUGGAUCCUAAGAAGACGGAUGCUGUCAAGAGUUGGCCUAGACCUCUAACUCCUUCAGAUAUUAGAAGCUUUUUGGGUUUGGUCGGUUACUAUAGAAGGUUUGUUGAGGGAUUUUCUUCCAUUGCUUCUCCUUUGACGGCUUUGACUCAAAAGAAAGCUAAGUUUGUGUGGUCGGAAGAGUUGAAGGAUAGAAUUACUUCCGCCCCGGUAUUGACUUUAUCGAAAGGUAUGGAUGGUUUUGUGGUAUAUUGUGAUGCCUCUAGAGUUGGGUUGGGAUGUGUGCUUAUGCAAAAUGGUAAGGUGAUUGACUAUGCUUCAAGGCAACUUAAAGUCCAUGAGAAGAAUUAUCCUACCCAUGACAUUGAAUUAGCGGCGGUUGUGUUUGCCUUGAAAAUAUGGAGGCAUUAUUUGUAUGGGGUCCAUGUGGAUGUUUCACCGAUCACAAAAGUCUUCAAUAUGUGUUUAGUCAAAAGGACUUGAAUCUUCGUCAACAAAGGUGGUUAGAAUUGCUGAAGGAUUAUGAUAUGAGUGUUCCUUUAUCACCCCGACAAAACUAAUGUGGUAUAGGACACACUUAGUAGGUUGUCCAUGGGUAGUGUGGCUCAUGUAGAGGAUGACAAGAAAGAGUUGGUUCAUGAGGUGCAUAGGUUGGCCCAACUAGGUGUCCAACUAGUGGGUUCCACCAAGGGUGGUGUCAUUGUCCAUAAUGGUUCCGAAUCGUCCUUUUUGAUGGAUGUGAAGUCUAAACAAGGCCUUGAUCCUAUGUUAGUUGAGUUGAAAUAGUCUGUAGCGGCUUUCUCCCAAUGGGGAGAUGGAGUGCUAAGGUACCAAGGUCGGUUAUGUGUUCUGGAUGUUGAUGGUUUGAGAGAUCAAAUUUUAGAAAAAUCUCAUAGUUCUCGGUAUUCUAUUCAUCCGGGAUCCACCAAGAGAAAUCUCAUAGUUCUCGGUUUACAUCCCUACUUUAUUCAAAUAGGAAGAAACGUCGUGACGACUCAAAAAAUAAUCAAUUAAGUCGAUUUUAAAAGAAUUUUAAGAAUAAACGAAUUUUAAAGGAGUCGCCACCUAAUUUUAGGAAAACUAGGAAACCAAUUCAAUGAUCUACGAAACCAUUAGAUUCUAGGUAAGGGGUUCAAGUUAUUCCGAAUGGAAGAUGUUAGGCAUCUUUCAAAAUCCACAAAUGUGGGUCCCGACUGAAUUCACUUUUUCAAAUUGAGGAGGAAAUAAAAAUAAAUAUACAAGUAUAAUAACUAGUAAUAUACACAAAUAAUAAAAUAAAACAAUAAUAAAUAAAAGUUAUAAUUCGAACUCCGUUUCAAAUAGCUUAAAUGGAAAACAACUCUGUGUACCUAUAAAGACACUUAGUAAAAGUGUUAGUACUAAAUAAAUAUGAAUAAAAAUGAAUAACUCAAAUAAUAACUUAAAAAUAAAACCCGUCUUAUUAACAUGGAAGGCCUUGAAAAUCGACGGUAAUUUCUUCAUCGGUCAAAUUUAACAAACAAAAAAUAUAUAAACUUAAACUAAAAUUCCGUCUUUAAUAUUGGGAAGGCCUCAAAAAUCGACGGAGAGAUUUUCUCAUUGGCCAAUUUUAAUAGAAUUUCGACAUAAAAUAAAAUGAAACUAACUAUAUUACACUAUAAGAUAAAAUACAACCAUCCAAACUAUAAGAACCUAACAUAAUAAUAAUAAUAAUAAUAAUAAUAAUAAUAAUAAUAAUAAUAAUAAUAAUAAUAAUAAUAAUAAUAACAAUAACAACAGCAACAACCACCAAACUGUUAACAACAUAACAAAACAAUAAUAAUUAAAUAAUAUUAAUGUAGGAACGUAAUUUCUGUAACUUCUUAGAACAUGAAUCAACCAAUUUAAUAAACCCAUAACAAUCACAUAUGAAAAAAUUAGAAAGAUGCGGUAAAAAAAAAAGAACAAAUUCAAAGUCGUGAACAAAUGAAGAAAAAUAAAAUAAAAUAAGACAACCACAUAUGUGUAUAUCAACAACUCAACUUAUAUUUAAUUAAUAAAGUUAUCUAAACACUUGUAUAUAUCACUUCAUAAUAAAUAAAAUAAAGAGCUAUAAGCUAAUCACUUAAUAUAAUAAUAUGAUCCACAAAUAAACAAAUUAAUAAAGAAUAGAUAAACAGUAGCCAAAAACUAAACAAAAAUAAUGAAAACCUUGGUGGAAAACUCAAAGCAGUGAUUAUAACAAAGAUAAACUAAUAUCUAACUUAAUGAGUUAUUUGAAUUAAAAUGAUUACCUACACAUUGAUAAGGAAAAGAAGGGUGAAAUAUACACUGAAGCUCAGAUUUAUGGAGAUCUGAUAGCGAUGAAGGAUGGUGUGCGUUUCUCCGAUGCAGCAAGGUCAUAUUUUGUUCGUCGGAUCUUUAAAGCUCGUUGGGACAACAUCAUUCCACCUGCAAAACAAGAGAAAAAAAAUAAUCAUAAAAGAGGAAAGAGGAUGGGGACAGAGCACCAUUUUAUUGGCUUCGGUUCAUCAGAGUUUGAAACUCCUCGCCAGAGCUACUGUCCGUUCGCGGCACCGCUGGCGUGAGCUCGGAGCUCGUUGCUCCGAUGGUUCUAGAUGGGUUUGUUGUUGUUAUCGGAUAAAAAUGAAAAAGGGGUGUGGUUGAGUUGGGGUUUUGUGGGUUGGUUUGGAGGCUGUUUGGCAGUUGUUUUAGCUGGAGAAGGAGAAAGGGGAAAGGGGUCGUUUCCGGUGACUAUUUCACCAGAAAAAGAAGAAAACGAAGAGGGUUUUGGGGGCUGUUGGUGAUGAGCAGAAAGGGUGAGGGUUGUUGUUUCCGGUUGUUGUUGUUUGCCGGAUAAAAUGGGUUGUUGGGUGGCAGUUGUUUUUUUUUUGUGCCAAAAAGCAGGAGGAGAAACUUUUAGGGUUUUUCUAUUUUGGAAAGUUUUCAUCCCCUUUUCAAAAAUAAUUCACCACACCACUUAUUUUUUAACCUAACUAAAACUUAUAUAGGAAAUAAUUGUUAAAUGGGCUCAAUUGUGGGAUUGGGAUUGUGGCCCAAAAUUAUCGAUCAAGUAAAAUAUCUGUAUUUGAAUGAAUUUCUAGACUGUGCAAAAUAUCAAAAUAAAUAUUAACAAAUGUAACAAAUAAAAUGAAUAUAAAAAAAAAUGAACGUAACUAAUGACAUAUAAAAAUGCAGUUUAAAGAUUAAUUGAAAAAAGAAAAAUCCUAAAUUUUGAUAAAUAAGGAUAUUUAUCGAUAAAUUUAUUUAAAAUUAUAAAAAAAUUAUUUUGAACUAUUAAAUAAGUAAAACUUAAAAUUUGCGAAUUUUUGAAAAUGUUUGGCCAAAAUUGGGUGUCAACAGUUGUCCCUUUUGUUGGAUAUGAUUGAUGAAAGAAAUCUUAAACAACGAAAAUUGACAAAUCCAAUUUUGGCCGAACACAUGACCUUUAUAUAAAAGUACGGUUGGAAUGUGGUGGAAGUCGACCCUGAACUUGCCUCCAAAAGGUUUCACGCUGUGUUGCGUCCUUGUUGAAAUAGUCCGCACAUGUGGCUCAACUGAGAAUGCAUCCUCUUGGAUGUUCUCAAAAAAACAAAGAUGAAACUCAUCAGUAGAGACAAUUACAGGGAAAAAGGUAGCAUCUCUUACAAUACGACAAAUGAAGAUGAUCCAUUGGUAGGAUAAAAAUGCAUGUCCAAUGGUAGGACGAAUGAAGAUGAUGAUCCAUCGGUAGGUAUUUUGAAUGUAUGUCCAUCGGUAGGACGAAUGAAAAAAGAUGAUCCAUCGCUAGGAUUUUGAAUGUGUGUCUAUCGAUAGGACGAAUGAAAAAAAAAAAAUCCAUCGGUAGGAUUUUGAAUAUAUGUCCAUCGGUAGGACGAAUGAAUAAAGAUGAUCCAUCGCUAGGAUUUUGAAUGUGUGUCCAUCGAUAAACGAUGAAUGAAAAAAAAUGAUCCAUCAGUAGGAUUUUGAAUAUGUGUCCAUCGAUAGGAUUUUGAAUAUGUGGACUUGAACGUUGAAUAGAUAUGGUGCGCAUCCUUCACCUCCGAAUAGAUGCGACUUAAAUGCAAAUAUCUUUCAACGCAAGUUUCCUUCGACUUGAACGUUGAAUAGAUAUGGUGCGCAUCCUUCACCUCCGAAUAGAUGCGACUUAAAUGCAAAUAUCUUUCAACGCAAGUUUCCUUCGACUUGAACGUUGAAUAGAUAUGGUGCGCAUCCUUCACCUCCGAAUAGAUGCGACUUAAAUGCAAAUAUCUUUCAACGCAAGUUUCCUUCGACUUGAACGUUGAAUAGAUAUGGUGCGCAUCCUUCACCUCCGAAUAGAUGCGACUUAAAUGCAAAUAUCUUUCAAUGCAAGUCUCCUUCGACUUGAACGUGGAAUAGAUAAGGUGCGCAUCCUUCACCUCAAAAUAGAUGCGACUUAAAUGCAAAUAUCUUUUCAACGCAAGUUUCCACCAACUUGAACGUUGAAUAGAUAGGGUGCACAUCNNNNNNNNNNNNNNNNNNNNNNNNNNNNNNNNNNNNNNNNNNNNNNNNNNNNNNNNNNNNNNNNNNNNNNNNNNNNNNNNNNNNNNNNNNNNNNNNNNNNNNNNNNNNNNNNNNNNNNNNNNNNNNNNNNNNNNNNNNNNNNNNNNNNNNNNNNNNNNNNNNNNNNNNNNNNNNNNNNNNNNNNNNNNNNNNNNNNNNNNNNNNNNNNNNNNNNNNNNNNNNNNNNNNNNNNNNNNNNNNNNNNNNNNNCCAACUGUAACGAGGUGGAUGGCCCGACGAUUGUCCAAUUGUAACGAGGUGGAUGGCCCAAUGAUUGUCCAACUGUAACGAGGUGGAUGACUCGAUGUCUUGAAAAUGUCGUCUGCUUGAUGUUUUCAUCUGUUCCUGUACUAGGAAAUGAACGAUUAGUAGACACCAUAUCGUUUUCUCUAGCGACACAGUCAAGAAACUUUAAGGAAAGAUUCACAAGAGAAUGUGUACAAAGUGCUUGAUCACCUUGACACAAAUGAGCAACCAUCAUUUUGCUCUUGAACACUUUGUGUUCAUUGUGACUCAUGUCUUAUUGGGGAUUUGUACUAGGAGUUACUGGCUUGCUAUGACAAUGCUGGAGAUUUUCAAGUUGACUUUGAACUUCAAGCGAUGAUGGAUCAUUUGAAGUUGACUAUCAAGCUUCUGACAGUACUUGUUGGAAUUUUUUGAGGUCUUUCUUAAAAAUUCUGUCCCAGUUAAAACUUUUGGCAAAUCUCAAAAUGAUCUCCAAUAUUGAUUUGUUGGAGAUAGCACAUUUAUUGUGAAUUUUUGAGAUGUUCUAAAAAAUUCUGUCCAGUUUUUAUUACAAGGUGAAAAGAAAAUCACACUGGGUAUAUGACCGAGUCAUCGUGGCGCCUACAUAUCCUGUUGAGCCAGGAAUCAGGUCAAAUGUAGUUCCAAUCCUGUAAAUGAUGAAUACUGCAAAGAAUCUGAGAUAAGAUCGUCAGUAGAAAAUGUACAAUAUGAACAUGAUGAAAUAAGAAAAUAAUAUUCCCUGUGCUAUUCAGAGCUUAAAGACAAGAUAUAUCAAAAAUUUUGGACGGACAAUCCAAUGAAGUAAAAUAUGUGUCUCACACUGACAAGUUUAGCCUAAUGACACUUUUUGCAAUGAAUAACCCAAAAAGGAAAGACAAAGUCUUUUUUUUUUCUUUAAUGCAAAGAAUCUAAAAAAAAAAUUUGGAAAAAUGUUAAAGAGUGAAUGCUUGCUCACCCUUUUUUUUUUUUUGAAAUAUAAAUAAUAUAAAGAGACAAUCAAAUCUUGACUACAAUUGGUACCAGGAGUCAGGAUCGCAUAUAAAUCUCUUCUUUUUUCCUUUUUCUUUUUCUAAUUAAAACUGAAUUCAAGGUAACUCCUGCAGCUUCAAGUGGUACCUCAAACAUACUUAAGUAUCAACAAGAUUUGUUCAUCUUGCUUCAAACAAAGGUUUUGAAUUGUACCAUCCUCAUGUUUCAGUUGCCCUCACAAUAAGAAAAGUCCUAUUUCACACAUAUUUGAAGCAUAUUAUUUGAGGACAUUUUUCAAGGUGCACUCACACUCACAAAAAUGUUCAAUGCAUGCAACUGUGAUACCAUAUGUUUGGCCCUUAUGUAAAUCUCCACUAAUGUAAGGACAUUAGGAAUAAGAUCAUGUAGGACUUGUUAUUGGCUUGUAAUGUAGGCUUAGGGACGGGUAGAAUAUUUAUUUGGGAUAAGAGUGACUUAAUUCCUUCUUGAGCGUCACAGUGAAUUUGUGUUUUUGAUGAUUGAUACACCUUUGACGUCUGAUCCUCUUUAUUGUCCCUUUUUUUUUCUUUUUUUUUGACUUCUUUUGAAUUCUUAUUUGUUGGAACUUUUCCUUUUUUCACCCCUUUGUUUUGAAGUUUUCUCCUCUUUUAUUGGAGUUUUUUCCUCGUCGUCUUUCAUUGACCUUGUAGGGGUGUAUUUGUCUUUAUUUAUUUCUUUCCACCUUCCUUUUUUUUUCUUUUUUUUUUCUAGAAGUCAUUUUUUGUUUUCUUGACUUUGGGGGACUUUGUAUCUUUUGCCUUUGACAACUUCAAACAUGAAUCUUCUUUUAUAAUUUGCACAUCUUCGGCGCGCUCAAGAAGAUUGGGCCAAGCGAGGGAUAGUGCAUGUAAGCACUCAGAAGGGUAAUGACUAAGAUGUGGUUGUCCAAAGAAAGGCUUCAGACUCAAAGUGGAGAAAACUAGGGAUUAAUGUCAUUUGUUAGGCUUUGAAAGACACAAUCGGGUCAAAGAAGGCCUACAAUCCUUUCCCAUACCAAACAAUACUCAGGAUUUCACCUCGAAAAACAUUCAGGCCAAGUUUUAGAUCAACAGUGCAAUGCAAUUGAAUUUUGAUCUAAAAGCUCUCCACACCAUGCACAUGAGAAACCAUGAGGUUGGUUUUAUUCUUAUCUUGAAUGCCUGCAAGAGAAUUUUCAAGCAUCACAAAAGUACAAAUGAGAUGUACCAAAAGAAUCUAUGGUUUACCAAAGAGUCAGUCCUCUUCAUCAUAUCGAAUAUUUUACAUGCUCCUAACUGUAUUGGUCCCAAUUGAGCUAAAGACAUGAAUAUUUUAAUAUGUACAAAACAGUUUUUUUUAUUUUUUUUAAAAAUGAAUACCGAACCCAACAAGAGCUACCUACAUAUCUCAUCGAGAUGAGAAUCAGUUGUGCGUAGUUCAUGCAGAUAUGUCUUUGAAAAUAUGCACAAACUAUUUUACUUUUCAUUUCUUCAUUUUUUUAUUCCCUUAUUUUUUAGAUUUGAAAGAAUAAAUACCGAACCCAAGAAGGGCUGCCUACAUAUCUCACCGAGAUGAGAAUCAGGUUCACGUAGUUCGUGCAGAUAAAGCUUUGAAAAAUAUGCACAAACUAUUUUACUUUUUAUUCUUUUGAAAUUUGAAAAAAUGAAUACCAAAUCCAAGAAGGGUUGCCUACGUAUCUCAUCGAGAUGAGAAUCAAGUUCGCAUAGUUCGUUCAGUUAUUGCAUAAAAUAAUUUCAAAAUUUAGACAAACUCAGAGCGAUUCACUGUAUCCUCUUAACUGUCGAUCUUUGUACUGUCUGUUGAAUGUGGUCUCUCAUUUUUUUACAGUAACCACUUGUUGUAUUCUUUUUUUUUAAAUGUCUAUUGAAACUGUGUCUUCUCCCAAUUAUCCACGAGAACCAGACAUCAUUAUGACCAUCCCCAAUUGUCGUCAGGGAUGAUUUUCCUGCAAAAAUAUAAGAAAUGUGUGAAAGCAGGGCCAACAUGCAAAACAAUAAAAAAUAAAUGAGUGUAACCUUACCGUCAAAGACUCCCCUGAUUUAUAUUUUUGACUUGAUACUAAUGUCUUAUGAAAUACAAAGACUCAGAUUUCGCGAGUCCUCUUGUCCCUUGCAAUUUCGGAUGAACAAUGACUUCCAAAUAAAUCAACCUCUAGCAAAAAGAAAGAAAAACUCAAAAGGUAAAUGUGUUAAUUCGUAUUCAUAAUGGAUAAUGCAAAAUAUCACACAAAGAAUUAAUUAAACACAUAAACAAUAUUUUGAUUGAAGACAAACUAAACUAUAUCACAUAUCAUACAAACAAUUAUUGCGCGUCCUAUACAAAUAUGUGACCCUUUUAUGCCAUGGGUAGGCCUAUCGAUUUGAAGGAUGUAUUACGCCAUUUGACAACAUUCCAUUGUCCCCCAAACACUUAGUACAAAUUUUAUAAAUAAUUCAAAUAGGAUUACAAAAUAAGGAAAAAAAGAAAAAAAACAAAUAAUCAAUCUCACGCAGUGGUACAAUCCUAAACUAAGACUUUUAGAAGGUCUUUACUUCUUGAAUCACUUGUCAUCUCCGAAUGCCAACAACUUUUGGAUGAAAUGUUAGCUUGUAAAGUUCAUUCUUCGACUGGAGUAAGCUACUAAAUUAAACUCCCAACCUCGAGUGACAAUGAAUUGCCAAAUGACGUAUACAUCUUUCAAAUUUGAACACACAUUAUGAUCGUUCAUUUAGGCCGGAGGCCAUUUUAGACUUAAGGUGGGCUUCUAAUGUGCCCAACACGCCUUGGGUGUUGGGUCGACUUAGUUCAAAAUGCGCUAAAUUCGAGAUUUGGUUUCGCUCUACGCUAGUUGACCAAAAGUGGUUUUUGAAAGACCGGGAACCCAAGUGGACAACUUAGGUUGGAACUCACGACAACCAUUGGACGCAUGACCUACCAAUAAAUUGUCGAUCAUUCCGAAAAAGGGUCGAGUAUAAAAAGUCCGGCUGCGAUUAUGCAAAAACCGUCCUUAAUAUACUAUACAUACAAGUUGGAAAAUGCCAUGAAUGCAAUGACAAUAUACAUACAAUUAAACAAAUAAUGAAUAAACCACAAGUACAAUCUACAAGCAAUCAACAAAAUAUACAACACGCAAGAUAUAACACGAUAAAAGAAAGACCUCCUCAAUUUGAAAGAAUGAAUUCAUAAUGGUUAGAACCUCUAUAUCCUCAGCGGAGUCGCCAUUCUGUUUACAUCCCUACUUUAUUACAAUAGGAAGAAACGUGUGACGACUCAAAAAAUAAUCAAUUAAGUCGAUUUUAAAAGAAUUUUAAGAAUAAACGAAUUUUAAAGGAGUCGCCACCUUAUUUUAGGAAAACUAGGAAACCAAUUAAAUGAUCUAUGAAAUCAUUAGAUUCUAGGUAAGGGGUUCAAGUUAUUCCGAAAGGAAGAUGUUAGGCAUCUUUCGAAAUCAAUAAAUGUGGGUCCCGACUAAAUUCACUUUUUCAAAUUGAGGAGGAAAUAAAAAUAAAUAUACAAGUAUAAUAACUAGUAAUAUACACAAAUAAUAAAAUAAAACAAUAAUAAAUAAAAGUUAUAAUUCGAACUCCGUUUCAAAUAGCUUAAAUGGAAAACAACUCUGUGUACCUAUAAAGACACUUAGUAAAAGUGUUAGUACUAAAUAAAUAUGAAUAAAAAUGAAUAACUCAAAUAAUAACUUAAAAAUAAAACCCGUCUUAUUAACAUGGAAGGCCUUGAAAAUCGACGGUAAUUUCUUCAUCGGUCAAAUUUAACAAACAAAAAAUAUAUAAACUUAAACUAAAAUUCCGUCUUUAAUAUUGGGAAGGCCUCAAAAAUCGACGGAGAGAUUUUUUCAUUGGCCAAUUUUAAUAGAAUUUCGACAUAAAAUAAAAUGAAACUAACUAUAUGACACUAUAAGAUAAAAUACAACCAUCCAAACUAUAAGAACCUAACAAAAUAAUAAUAAUAAUAAUAAUAAUAAUAACAAUAACAACAGCAACAACCACCAAACUGCUUUAUCAUUCAACACUCCCAUUAACUUUACCUUUCUUAAUGAAUUCUGCAUUGUCAGAUUCAACAAUUCUUGAAUUUUAUUGAUUUGGACUGUAAAAUCUUAUAUCUUUUAGAUUUCUUUGGAUAAUUAAUUAGGUAACAAUUUAUUGUUCGAGAAUCUAUUUUUUUUAUGUGAAUUAUCAUUUUAAAUUCCAUUGAGCAACCCCAUGCAAGUGUCUUAAAUUAGAUUUUCUCUCAAGCAAUAGUAUAAAACGAGUCUUUGAAAUUGCCUUACUAGAAUCUCAUUUAAUAAAUAUAUGGAAAAAGGACGGAUUUACCCCCGAACUUUAAUAAAUGGUACGUCUAUACCCUCCGUUAUACUUUGCGUCCACAUAAGCCCUUGCCGUCCAAUUAUAGGUACACACAUGCCCUUCUCACUAACGGAUCCCUCAUUUUUUACACGUGUCUUAAUCCUAAUGAACUACCCGUUUGACCUUUUUUUUAACCCAUAAACCAACUAUCCGCCCCAUAACCCAAUAUCCACCUAAUUUCCUCUAAGAUAUAUCCUAAUUAAAAGACCCAAAUCUAAAGUCCUGUUCCUAUCACCCAAUAUCAGGCUUAAUCAUAUCACUCAACAUAUCAUCAUACACACAUUUCAUAUCAUCAAUCAUAACAAACCUUGAUAAGCACAUCAACAACUUGUUAUAACCCCAAACAUCAACUUUAAACCUGCACCUCAUCUCCCGAACAAAAUCCAUCACGAAAACAGCAUCGUCCCGAGUUUCGCCAGAUUUAAUCAUGGAAAGUCGGGUUCUUUCAGCAACCCGGAAGAGGUUAUUGGAAAUCAAAAUGCGUAAAAAGGGUGCGUAAGAUUGAGGAUUGGGUUUGAAUAAAAGGGUAUUUCGGGUAGAUAAAUAAUAGAAGAAGGAGAUUACAAUGUGGGGGUUGAGAUUUGGGUUUUGCAAAAGGAAAUAAGAGAAAUGAGAAGGGGAUAAAGAAGGAAUGAGGGUGUUGAGAGAAGGGUGUUUUCGCCAAUUUGGAUUCGAAAGGACGAAGAGGAGGUGUUGGUUAAUAGAGGAAGAAGAAGAAGAAGUGAUGGAUUUGAUGAAGAAGAGGGAACUUGAGUGAGCUGAACGCAACGCGGUUGAUAGUUGCAUCAUUGUAUGAUCGGGAAAUUCAGCGGCAGAGAUGAAGAAAAGUCCAUGUAACAGUAAGAAAGAGAGGAGAAAAUUUAGUUAAGUGUUACAGAUCCAUUGGAGCUGAGAAAUGGAGCUCUAUUGGUUGAGUUGAAGAAGACGAUAGUAGGUGUUUUUUUUAAAAAAAAAAUUUGUGUAUUAUUUUGUGUGUUAGGAACGGGACCUUUAGAUUUAGGUCUUUUAAUUAGGAUAUAUCUUAGAGGAAAUUGGGUUAUGGGGCGGAUAGUUGGUUUAUGGGUUAAAAAAAGGUCAAACGGGUAGUUCAUUAGGAUUAAGACACGUGUAAAAAAUGAGGGAUCCGUUAGUGAGAGGGGCAUGUGUGUACCUAUAAUUGGACGGCAGGGGCUUAUGUGGAUGCAAAGUAUAACGGAGGGUAUAGACGUACCAUUUAUUAAAGUUCGGGGGUAAAUCCGUCCUUUUUCCCUUUAAUUAAUAAAGUUAUCUAAACACUUGUAUAUAUCACUUCAUAAUAAAUAAAAUAAAGAGCUAUAAGCUAAUCACUUAAUAUAAUAAUAUGAUCCACAAAUAAAACAAAUUAAUAAUGAAUAGGUAAAACAGUAGACCAAAAACUAAAACAAAAAUAAUAGAAAACCUUGGUGGAAAUUCAAAGCAGUGAUUAUAACAAAGGUAAACUAAUAUCUAACUUAAUGAGUUAUUUGAAUUAAAAUGAUUACCUAUACAUUGAUAAGGAAAAGAAGGGAGAAAUAUAUAUUGAAGCUCCGAUUUAUAGAGAUCUGAUAGCGAUGAAGGAUGGUGUGCGUUUCUCCGAUGCAGCAAGGUCAUAUUUUGUUCGUCGGAGCUUUAAAGCUCAUUGGGACAACAACGUUCCACCUGCAAAACAAGAGAAAAAUAAUAAUAAUCGUAAAAGAGGAAAGAGGAUGGGGACAGAGCACCAUUUUAUUGGCUCCGGUUCAUCGGAGUUUGAAACUCCUCGCCGGAGCUACUGUCCGUUCGCGGUGCCGCUGGCGUGAGCUCGAAGCUCGUUGCUCCGAUGGUUCUAGAUGGGUUUGUUGUUGUUAUCGGAUAAAAACGAAAAAGGGGUGUGGUUGAGUUGGGGUUUUGUGGGUUGGUUUGGAGGCUGUUUGGCAGUUGUUUUAGCUGGAGAAGGAGAAAGGGGUCAUUUCCAAUGACUAUUUCACCAGAAAAAGAAGAAAACGAAGAGGGUUUUGGGGGUUGUUGGUGAUGAGAAGAACGGGUGAGGGUUGUUGUUUCCGGUUGUUGUUGUUUGCCGGAUAAAAUGGGUUGUUGGGUGGCAGCUGUUUUUUUUUUGUGCCAAAAAGCAGGAGGAGAAACUUUUAGGGUUUUUCUAUUUUGGAAAGUUUUCAUCCCCUUUUCAAAAAUAAUUCACCACACCAUUAUUUUUUAACCUAACUAAAACUUAUAUAGGAAAUAAUUGUUAAAUGGGCUCAAUUGUGGGCUUGGGAUUGUGGCCUAAAAUUAUCGAUCAAGUAAAAUAUCUGUAUUUGAAUGAAUUUCUAGACUGUGCAAAAUAUUAAAAUAAAUAUUAACAAAUGUAACAAUAAAAUGAAUAUAAAAAAAAUGAACGUAACUAAUGACAUGUAAAAAUGCAAUUUUAAGAUUAAUUGAUAAAAGAAAAAUCCUAAAUUUUGAUAAAUAAGGAUAGUUAUCGAUAAACUUAUUUAAAUUUAUAAAAAAAUUAUUUUCAACUAUUAAAUAAGUAAAACUUAAAAUUUGCGAAUUUUUGAAAAUGUUUGGCCAAAAUUGGGUGUCAAUAGGUUCUCAAAAAGUCCGUAGAGGCUUUCUCCCAAUGGGGAGAUGGAGUGCUAAGGUACCAAGGUCGGUUAUGUGUUCCGGAUGUUGAUGGUUUGAGGGAUCAAAUUUUAGAGAAAUCUCAUAGUUCUCGGUAUUUUAUUCAUCCGGGAUCCACCAAGAUGUAUCGUGAUCUACGAGAAGUCUAUUGGUGGAACUUUAUGAAGAAAGAUAUUGCAUGAUUUGUAGCCAAAUGUCCUAAUUGUCAACAAGUUAAAGUUGAGCAUCAAAGGCCAGGAGUCUUGUCCCAAGAUACAAGUAUUCCCACUUGGAAGUGGGAAGAGAUAAAUAUGGACUUUAUUAUGGGUUUGCCUCGCACCCGAAGGCAACAUGAUUCUAUUUGGGUCAUUAUAGACCGGAUGACAAAAUCAUCCCACUUUAUUCCCGUCAAGGUUUAUUUUUCGGCGGAAGACUAUGCCAAGUUGUAUAUAAGAGAAGUAGUGAAAUUGAAUGGAGUUCCUCUAUCUAUCAUUUCCGAUCGGGGUACUCAAUUUACAUCUCACUAUUGGAAGUCGUUCCAAAAGGUUUUGGCACUAAGGUGAAGCUUAGCACCGCUUUCCACCCUCAAACAGAUGGUCAAGCGGAACACACCAUUCAAACCUUAGAGGAAAUUUUGAGGGCAUGUGUAAUAGACUUAAAGGGUAAUUGGGGUGUCACUUGCCAUUAAUAGAGUUUGCCUACAAUAAUAGCUAUCACUCAAGUAUCGGUAUGGCUCCUUUUGAAGCUUUGUAUGGUAGAAUAUGUAGGUUUCCGGUUGGUUGGUUUGAGGUAGGUGAAAUUGCUUUGAUAGGUCCCAAUCUAGUUUAUGAAGUCAUUGAGAAAGUUCGGCUUAUUAAAGGGAUGUUGAGAACGGCUCAAAGUAGACAAAAGUCUUAUGCCGAUGUGAGAAGAAGGGAUCUAGAAUUUGAAGUUAAUGAUUGGGUCUAUUUGAAAAUCUCACCCAUGAAGGUUGUGAUGAGAUUUGGCAAGAAAGAAAAACUUAGUUCCCGGUAUGUUGGCCCAUAUCAAAUUUUGAAACGAGUUGGUAAAGUUGCCUAUGAGUUGGAUUUGCCAAAUGAGUUGGCCCUGGCUCAUCCGAUAUUUCAUGUUUCUAUGUGUAAGAAGUGUAUUAAAGAUCUGGUAUCCAUUCUUUCCCUAGAAGGGUUAGGAGUUGAUGAAAGUCUUUCAUAUGAAGAAGUUCCGGUAGAGACCCUAGACCGGCAAGUCAAGAGAUUGAGAAAUAAGGAAGUAGAUUCCGUGAAGGUUUUAUGGAAAAAUCAAUUAGUUGAGGGUGCUACUUGGGAGGCAGAGGCCGAUAUGAAGUCCCGAUUUCCUCAUCUCUUUCCUUCUACUCCUAUUCAAGCUUGAGGUAAAUAGUUUCUUUUGAGUUUUAGUGUUUUGGGAGUCAUGUGUGCUAUAUGUGUUUUCCAUGAUUUCCUCAUGUUAUGCAUGUUCUUGAGAAAUACAUGUUUAGUAAGAACAUGAGUUUUCAUGAUUUAUAUUCCUCAUGUUGUUGUGCAUUUAAUAUGAGUUGCCUAUUUGACUUCAUGAGAUGAGUUGAUGAACAUGCUUUAGUAUGCUUUUGAGAGUAAUUGCAUAUUGUCUCCGUGAUGUUGUGUUGAACAUGCUUUUAGAUGGAGAAGGUAGUUCCCCCUAUGUAUAUAAGAAAUAUUGAGUUUUCAUGCAUAAUGGGUUGUUAGAUGUAGUUCCUACUUCCUUAUGUUGCAUUGAUUAUGUUGAGAUGGAGUUGAUGUUUCCUCCUUUGAAUUGUGCAUUAUUUUGAUGUUUCAUACAUGAUGGGCUGCUAGUCUGUCUUUACCUCCGUAAGGUGUUUAGAUUGUCAUUCGAGGACGAAUGUACCCAAGGGGGAGAUAUUGUAACACCCCAAAAAUUAGUAGGCUAGACUAGAGCUAAACAUUAAGGUUAGAGUCAAGGAAGGAGGGCAAGAACCAAGGCAAAAGGCCAAUGGCCAAGGCUGCCCAAUCCUUGCCAAGGCGCUGCCUCAAGACCACGAGGUCCUUCAUGACCAAUGGUGGUCACCACGAGUGGUGAUGCCACUCGUGGAGGUGGAGACAGUUGCCUCCUUAAAGCUGCCUCAAAUCGGCUUCUCCACACGAGACACUUCACGGCUCGCGAAGCCUUAGACAACUCGUGGGAGUGGCCUUGAACAAGCCUUAGUGGUUGAGGGUUGAUGGAGGGUGGCUUAGCCACUGCCUCAAGUCCCACGAGAGGGACCACAACUCAUGGAGCCCCUUGUGAAGAUGCCUUGGGCUUGUGAGCUAAAGGCACUUGUUGCCUAGCCACUGCCUCAAGUCCACGAAGGGGACCACGACUCGUGGUGAUGUCCACCGCUCGUGGGGUCCCACAUGGUCCCUGGCAGCUCACUUAAAGUGAGGGGUGUUUUUGGGUAAUUCCGGUUUGAGUCUUAUUAAAGUGAAGUCAUUUUGCCUUUGUUUUAUACACAUAUAUAAGUCAUUUUAAGUCAAAAUAUACCCAUUCACCCCAUUAUUUCCAAAACCCCCAAAUCAAAUCCCAACAGUUCAUCUUCUUUUCAAAAUUUCUCUCUCUAGAACUCUAAGGAAGAAGAAGAGGAAAGUUGAAGCUAGGGUUUGAAGGAGCAAGGUUUUCCACUCGAUUUCUUUGGAAAUUCAUAGCUAAGGUGUGGUAGUCCUUCAUCCAUGGAGUCCCUUCAAACUCCAAAUUUCAAAGUUAGAAAUCCCUAAGAGCUAGGGUUUUACUCCAAAUUCAUGGGUUCCUUUCUAAAAAGAUUUUUAUACCUUAAUUAUGAUAUAUUAUGAAUGAAUUGAUGAGUAUUGAUGUUUUUAAGAUGAAUUCCCCAAGAACCCAUGAAACCCCCAUAGUUCCCACUUAUGAUUUUGUGAUAUGGGUUUGUUGAUGAAAGAAGAGUAUUAGUAGAUUGUGUAUGAAAUGAAUUGAUUUCUUGAAUUAUGAUUAUAUAUAUGUCUAAUGUAGUGAAUUCUAGAUAUGUUGAUAGAAUGUGAUCCUUGAUCCUUGAAGGGUAAAGUAUGAGAAUUAUGCAUGAUUAUGAGAUUUAUAUAUAUGCUUUAAGAACAUUUUGAGAGGCAAGUGAUUAUGAUUAUGAUCUAGUUGUUGUGUUGUUGAAAGGCUAUUCUCAUAUACACACCUAUGUAUGAAUAUGAUAUGAUGUGAAAGGUUUUCUCACAAUAUGAUGAUUCCAAGGUUGAAAGGCUAUUCUCACCUAUUGAAUCUAUGAGUUAUCUUAUGAAUUAUGUUGGAUUGAGUGUCAAGGCAUUCUUCCAUGAAUAUGAACUUAAGUCAAGACUUAAUAUGUACUCUGUGGGAUAAAUUCUUAGCACCGAAUGAAUAUUGAAUAUGAGAUCGAAGCUCUUCCGUAAGAAAGGCCGGGUUUCUAGAAAGAAUCUCUUGAGAUGGAAGCUCUCCCGUCAGAAAGGGCGAGUUUCUAGUAGCAAUCUCCUUAUCCCAUAAACUAUGUGCCCCAUAGGUUAUUUAGCUAGUGGAUCCACCUAAGCUAAGAGUAUGGUUCUACCUUAGUCAAGUAGGACAACCCUUUUUGGUGUGGGUAAAACUGGAUUCCAUGAUAAGCUCACGUGGUCUAUGUCGGUUAAGGCUUAUUCCCACUAUGAACAAGAUAUGAAUUAUGAACUAUGGUUACUCAAGAAGCUUUACUUAGGCAUGGGUAGGAUUAUGAGAUCUUAUUCAUGCAUUGCACAAGUAUGCUUUGAGGGUAUUUAUGGUAUGUUUCUAUUAUGCUAUGAUGAUCUAUGUAGUGAAUAUGCUUAUGACUUAUUCUUUUCCAUUACCUUCAAAAUGAUGCUUUAACUUAGUAAAUUGCACGCAUUCAACUAAAAUGUCCCUUUUGCAUGUUUUCAAGGUUUUUAUACAUGACUAUCAUACUUAGUGCAUUUUUGUACUAAUCCAUAUUUCUCCUACAUUUUUUCCCAAGUGUAGGGUCCGGUUCUCAAGGUGGUCCUCAUUGUGGCUAGAGCUUGGAAUUGAUCAUUUCUCCUUGCUUGUUGGUGAGUCCUCAUGAUUCGAGGACGGAUGUUAUCUUAGUAGUUUCAUUCAUGUAUUUUCUUUUCGGAUUAUGUAGUAUGGGUUGUGUCCCUAUUUUUGAUACAAGUAUUGUAAUAGAUGGCUAUUUGAGACAAGUCUAGACUUCCACUUUUCUUUAUGAAAAUUUUGGACUUGAA
rnacentral:lncRNA from 1 species